GACGAACGCUGGCGGCGUGCUUAACACAUGCAAGUCGAACGAAGAGCGAUGGAAGCUUGCUUCUAUCAAUCUUAGUGGCGAACGGGUGAGUAACGCGUAAUCAACCUGCCCUUCAGAGGGGGACAACAGUUGGAAACGACUGCUAAUACCGCAUACGAUCUGACCUCGGCAUCGAGGAUGGAUGAAAGGUGGCCUCUAUUUAUAAGCUAUCACUGAAGGAGGGGAUUGCGUCUGAUUAGCUAGCUGGAGGGGUAACGGCCCACCAAGGCGAUGAUCAGUAGCCGGUCUGAGAGGAUGAACGGCCACAUUGGGACUGAGACACGGCCCAGACUCCUACGGGAGGCAGCAGUGGGGAAUCUUCCGCAAUGGACGAAAGUCUGACGGAGCAACGCCGCGUGAGUGAUGACGGCCUUCGGGUUGUAAAGCUCUGUUAAUCGGGACGAAAGGCCUUCUUGCGAAUAGUUAGAAGGAU
rnacentral:rRNA from 1 species